CCUACGGGAGGCAGCAGUAAGGAAUAUUGGUCAAUGGACGAAAGUCUGAACCAACCAUGCCGCGUGAAGGAUUAAGGCCCUCUGGGUUGUAAACUUCUUUUAUCUGGGACGAAAAAAGGGUAUUCUUACUCACUUGACGGUACCAGAGGAAUAAGCACCGGCUAACUCCGUGCCAGCAGCCGCGGUAAUACGGAGGGUGCAAGCGUUAUCCGGAUUUACUGGGUUUAAAGGGUGCGUAGGUGGGCUUGUAAGUCAGUGGUGAAAUCUCCGGGCUUAACCCGGAAACUGCCAUUGAUACUAUAGGUCUUGAAUUAUCUGGAGGUAAGCGGAAUAUGUCAUGUAGCGGUGAAAUGCUUAGAUAUGACAUAGAACACCAAUUGCGAAGGCAGCUUACUACGGAUAUAUUGACACUGAGGCACGAAAGCGUGGGGAUCAAACAGGAUUAGAUACCCUGGUAGUCCACGCCCUAAACGAUGGAUACUCGACAUCAGCGAUACACUGUUGGCGUCUGAGCGAAAGCAUUAAGUAUCCCACCUGGGAAGUACGAUCGCAAGAUUGAAACUCAAAUGAAUUGACGG
rnacentral:rRNA from 1 species